UCCUCCAAAGCCGUACAUUAGGCAAACCCGCGCAUCUCUCUCGCUUCUCCCUCUCUCUCUCUCUCUCUCUCUCUCUCUAAAAUUCUCUCCACUCGCUUCUGCCUUCCGGGCUGUGGCUGCCUGUUCUAGUUUUUGGUUAAUCCUCUCCGAAAUAUCAUCUGCAAAGGAAAAACCAAACAAAAAAAAUAGAACAACCCAUUAGCCCCAAACCUCCCAAAACACUCCAAAAACGUUGUCUUUCUGUAUUGUUAAAUUUCUGAUCCUUUUACUUUUUUUUCCUCCAACGAACGACUUUGUCUUUCUUCGAUUCUCUAGUGUGUUCAAGGUCAACCUUUUCAUCUGUCUCUAUAAAUUAUUCAUCUUUUGGGGUCGAUUGGGACUUGCAUGCGUGAAAUUCUUCUGGUGCUUGUCCGUGGGUUUGAUUUGUACCUGAAGACUUUGUUUGUUUGAAUUUUUUCUAUCCAGCUGUGGAAAUUGAGUCGUUUUCUUAGAGUUUAUUGCCAUUCUUUUGUUUGAUUAAUUUUUUGGAAAAAAAAAAAAAGAGUGUUUGGUGACGAGGUACUUCGGAUUUUGAAGAUUGUUUUGUUUGUUUUAAUUUAUGUGGAAUAUAAAAGAAAGGGAGCUGGUGUUGAUUUUUCUCAUUGGUGCAUAGUUACCAACAUUGGAGGCAAUUGGGUUGUUGUGAUUGAGUUUCAACUGGAUCAGAUAUUUCUAUUUCGUUUGUUGAAUUUAAGGAUAUCUGUGCCGGGGAAAUCGAUUUGUUAACCCGAGAAGGCUUUUUGAAUUUAUCUGUUUUGAGCAUUUGUCAUUGAUGGGAUUCAUCCAAAUCUGGCAAACAAGAUGACGGCGAAAAAUUUUAAGCUUUGUUGAUCAUGUCUCUCUAAGACAGCAGUUUAACACAGAUUUGUUUCCGGGAUUUGCUUGUUUUCUUUUUAUUGUUUUUGGUUGUUUCGAUUACCGUUUGGCAGUUGGUGUUCCGUGUUUUGGUUGUUCUGCAUUGAUUGUUAGUAAUGGAUUCAAGGACAAGUGAGAAUGUUGAAGUUGCAGAUGUACCAAACAUGGUGGAUCACCAGAAAGGUAAUAUGAAUUCAAAACUUAGGAGUGCAGGGAGUAUGAGUUUCAAAGAGGUGGAACCAAAAAUUAAUGGCACAGGAAGUAUUAGUAGCAAAGAGAUGAUCUUCCGAGCAGAUAAAAUCGAUUUGAAGAACUUAGAUAUACAGCUUGAGAAACAUUUGAGCCGGGUUUGGUCUAGAAACAUUGAGAGUACCAGGCCUAAGGAAGAAUGGGAGAUUGAUUUAGCUAAAUUGGAAAUAAGAUAUAUUGUAGCUCGAGGGACCUAUGGUACCGUAUUCAGGGGCACCUAUGAUGAUCAAGAUGUUGCAGUGAAGCUGUUGGACUGGGGGGAGGAUGGCUAUGCCACAGGUGCUGAAACUGCUGCUCUGCGGGCAUCAUUUCAAAAAGAAGUUGCUGUCUGGCACAAGCUUGACCAUCCUAAUGUUACCAAAUUCAUUGGAGCUUCAAUGGGAACUUCAGAUCUUAAAAUUCCUACAAAAGGCUCUUCAAGUGAUGGUGUAGAUUCACAUCCUGCUAGAGCGUGUUGUGUUGUUGUGGAAUAUCUCGCUGGUGGGACACUAAAGCAAUUCUUGAUAAGAAACAGGCAAAAGAAACUUGCCUUUAAGGUUGUGAUCCAACUUGCUUUGGACCUCUCUAGAGGUCUUAGCUAUCUGCAUUCUCAAAAGAUCGUACACCGUGAUGUCAAAACAGAGAAUAUGCUACUUGAUACUCGCAUAAACCUUAAAAUAGCUGAUUUUGGUGUUGCUCGUGUUGAAGCUCAAAAUCCAAGAGACAUGACUGGUGAAACUGGUACCCUUGGAUACAUGGCUCCAGAGGUUCUGGAUGGUAAGCCUUAUAAUAGAAGAUGUGAUGUCUAUAGCUUUGGCAUAUGCUUAUGGGAAAUUUAUUGCUGCGACAUGCCCUACCCAGAUCUUAGCUUUGCUGAUGUAUCAUCUGCAGUUGUUCGGCAGAACCUACGACCAGAAAUACCCAAAUGCUGUCCAAGUUCUUUGGCAAACAUCAUGCGCAAGUGCUGGGAUGGAAAUGCAGAUAAACGUCCUGAAAUGGGUGAGGUGGUGAAAAUGUUGGAAGUAAUUGAUACAAGCAAAGGAGGCGGAAUGAUACCUGAAGACCGUUCUCCGGGCUGUUUCUGUUUUGCUCCCACUCGCGGGCCAUGAGCUUAUUACCCCUUAUUUGUACCAGCCACCAAAGAUGAUAAAAAGAAGGAUGCUUGUGUUUGUGAUGUGGUUCUGUUUUGAUAUUGGGACGUGCCAUAUCAAAUGGUCCAAGGUGGUCACUGUUGCGAGCUUAAGGUGUUCGUGCAUUUGAGAAUAAAUUGAUCGAACUUGGGAUCGAACGCGUGCUGUACAAGAAAAAAAAAAAAAGCCGAGGUAAUCGUUGCUUAGGAACUAACCAGGAUUGACUGGACGGAUUAUGGAGCUCCUCAAAAGCAAGUUGAACGGCUUAUUAAAAUGUAUUUCGGGUUGGCUUUAAAGGAACUUAAAAAAGUGAGGAAAUUUGAGAGAUUUCGUUAUGUAUUUUAAUUAUUCAUAAAUUU